UACUAGGGGUGUGUAAGAGUUUGUGUACAUAGGGAAUAUAUGUAAUAAGCGUUUGAUAAUAGCUACUGUUUAGUUGUUUGGUAAGAAGCUGAAAUGAAUAACAGACCCGUUAAUGAAUCAGUCCUAUUAGUGGAAUAAUUGUUUUUAUGUGACUCAUUUUUGGCCAUUUAGUCUGUCCCCGCAUUACACAAGAACUUUGUGCUGAUGAGACAAUAGUAGACAGUGUGUGCAUUUAAUAUAGAACAGACCAUUCUACCGGCUGGGGGAAGUCAUGCACCUAUACAUUGAAGAGGGAGGGCAAAAAGAAAAAGGGGGCUAUUUCUCCGGCCUCGCUGCAGUCCGGGUCCUCAAAACGGUCCCCCCGUGGGCCGAAGUCGGACUGAAAGUUUGAGGCUGGCGGGCCCCUUCUGCGGGGCUCGGCCGCCGGGGGUGUAGAGACGCCCCCUCCUUGCUCGCCCGAGUGGAGCUGGCGCAGUGAAUCAUGUGCAGUUCUUUCCUUAUUGCAUUCAGCGCGUGGUUUCACCUUCAGGUUGUUGUUUGUCUGUCCUUCUCCAAAUCACAUCACCUUUAAAACCGAGAUAAGGUUUUGUUUGCCAUCUGACUCAGAAACAUCAAUGAAUGCUUAUAUCCGGAAUGCUCUCAAGCUGAGAAGCAGUUUGAAUAUAGGAAUGAAGAGAUAGAAGCUUGGUGAGAAACAUCCCCAUCCCAAUAGAAAUUUCAACAUAAUUUUCCACUCCUGGGCAGGGCUUUUACCUGUUGACUGAUGUUGUUGGAAUACAGAUGGAUUGUAGUGUAGGUGCAAACAUGGAAUUGCGAAGAGCCUCCAGUCCUCACAGGAUGAAUAAGAAUGAUGUGGAUGCAGACAAAUCUGUGUUGCACAGCUGCUGCAUAUGUGGCAAGAGUUUUCCCUUCCAGAGCUCACUGUCACAACACAUGAGGAAGCACACUGGAGAGAAGCCCUAUAAGUGCCCUUACUGUGAUCACAGAGCUUCCCAAAAGGGCAACUUAAAGAUCCAUAUUCGGGGUCACCGAACAGGCACCAUAAGCCAGAGGAAUGAUGUGGAGACGGUGGGAGAGGCUCAGCUUAAUGAGAUGAGGGUCUUCGAAGGCUUUGAUGGUUGCACCAGCCCUACCAAAAGCACCUCUGCUUGCAACAAAAUAUUGAAUGGAACAGUUCCCACAGAGGAUAGCAAGAUCUUGCUCAGAAGCAGCAGAAAAGAGGUAUUGGCCGAUGAUGUUAAACUAUGUACUGUUCAGUGCAACUUCUGUAAAAGCAAAUUUGAAGGGAAGAAAGAGUUGGAGCAACACAUACACCAAGUGCAUAAGCCUUUCAAAUGUAGGCUGUGUAAUUACAUGACCCUAAGACAGGAGACCCUUUUAAACCACAUAGAGAGAGACCAUAUUACCACUCAAAUUCCAAAUGGGGAAGCCUACCCCGAGAACUGCAAGCCUGAGUCCAAUGCUGGAGAAUUUCCUUGUGAAGUCUGUGGACAAGCCUUUAGUCAAACAUGGUUCCUCAAAGCUCACAUGAAGAAGCAUCGAGGGUCAUUUGACCAUGGGUGCCACAUUUGUGGCCGGAAAUUUAAAGAGCCCUGGUUCCUUAAAAACCACAUGAAAUCUCAUGGCCCAAAAGCUGGGAGUAAAAACAAGCCCAAAAGUGAUUUAGAGCCCAUUGCCACUAUCAACAAUGUCAUUCAAGAAGAGACUAUUGUGACUGGAUUAUCCCUUUAUGAAGUUUGUACCAAGUGUGGAAACCUGUUUACAAAUAUGGAGAGCCUAAAAGCACAUAAUUCUGUACACUGUAAGUCUCAAGGGAUUUGCAGUGAUCCCAGAGAAGAGAGACUAAUAGAUGGAGAUUUGGAUUCAUCUAUAGCAAAACAGUUUUUCUUCCAAUAUCUGAACUUGAGGCCGUCUGUAUGGAUAGAAGGUGUUUCAAGGGGCCAGUCAGGUAGAAGAGUAGCUGAGCUGGAUCCAGUCAACAGUUACCAAGCUUGGCACUUGGCUACCAAAGGGAAAGUUGCAGAGCCUUCUGAGUACGUUAAGUAUUUAGGAUGGGAUGAAGUUCUGGCAGAUGCUGAUGUCACAUAUGACAGGGACAAAAGGGAAUAUAUCCUUGUUAGUCAAGAGAAACGCAAGCACGAGCAAGAUGCAUCCAACUCUUCCAGUAAUCCAAAGAAGAAGAAUUGCACUGGUGGCCGUUCAGAGAAAAGCAAUAAUGCACAAGCAGGGGACAACUGCAUCCUUGAUCCAGAUGACUUAGAAUACAGACCAUCCUCACGUCAAAGCAGAAGGGUAUCACAGAACAAGUCCACCGAGUGCUUUGAGUGUGGCAAGAUUUUCCGCACAUAUCACCAAAUGGUGCUUCAUUCCCGAGUCCACAGGAAAGAGCGCCGAAGCUGCAGUGAAGGUGGAUCGGUAGUUCAACAUGAUAGAUACGGUUCCAAUAGUGAGGACGGUGAUUCUGGAUCUGUCAGUGCACCGAGUACACCAAGUUCUGCUUCUGCUCAAGAAGAUUCGGUUACCUCUGGAAUAGGUGAAGAGGGUCCUGAGGACAGCUCUGAAGAAGGGAUACAUGAGCCAUCCCCAUGUAAAAAACCAUAUCUCUGCAAUUUUUCUGCUGAAGAUGCAUCUGGGACAGCCCUACAGCUCAAUCAGGAAAGAAACAAUAGAGAAAAAAAUGCUGUGAAAUCUAAACCUGAAGUGCUAAAGGUGGCAUCUAUACCCCACGACAAGAUCAAAGAACCAUUUCCAAAAUACGUGGAUUGCAAAAUUUACCCUGAUUCAAAGAUGUCAGCAUUUCAGCAAAGUUGUGAUUUUCCUUGUUCCAGUAAGACUGCUGAUGUGAGACUGAAUUUGCAAAGCCCCUUGGAAAUUCAACAGAAGCUCGCUAAAGAGAUCCUUGUAGAGAUGAAUGAACAUUCUGUGCUCAAUAAAGAUACAGAGAUGUCUGAAAAGACUGCAUUAGAUCUUAGUGAGAAAUCAACUAGGGCUGAUUCAAGUUUUACCUCAACCUUGCAGGCUGCUCUGAUUGUCCACCGAUGUCCUUACUGCAGUCAUAAAACUUACUAUCCAGAAGUCCUGUGGAUGCACAAAAGAAUUUGGCACAAAGUUAGUUGUAAUUCUAUGGCUCCUGCUUGGGUUCUUCAAAAUGGAUUCAAGAGUAUAAAACAUAAUUCUGUUUUUAUGGCAAGAAGUGGGCGCACUGGACCACCUCCUGUACUUGGUGGGAAAGAAUGCCAACCUUUGCCUAUAGCCAGAUUUACACGUACUCAGGUGCCGAGUGGGUUGUCAGGAUCCAAAAAUAAUAAUUAUUCUGAUAUUGCUGUAUCUCCUAAGCCCGGGGCUAUGGCAAAAGAUGUACCAUCCACUGGGGGCUGUGGUCCGCAACCAUCAGCUAUUGAUGGAUAUAGACCACCCAAACUUAACCACACUCACGAACAAUAUGGUACUGUAGCCCAGCAGCCCCAGUUAAAAUCAAAAUUGGAUGUGAACUCCAAAUUGAUGCAAACGGGAAACUUUAGCAGAAAUUCAACGCCUUCCCAUACAGUGAUAUCUAAACCUAGCGGACAUCCCUCCAGUAGCAGAGAAACAGAAAAAUACAUAGUCCCUCAAGUAAAUGCUGGAUCUGCUCCUUUAAUCAAGCAUUGUACUCCAGAUACAGGGAAGGCCAAAUUUUUAUCUCCAUCUCAGUACCACCCUCUGUGUAAAACUGAGCCAUGCGUUACUCAAGAACCUCCAUCAAUGCCUCAGCAAGAACGUACCGCCAAGAGGGAAAGUGAAAUGAGAGCAUUGAUCAAUUGUACUGGAGGAUCCAGAGCAAGUCCUUUGAUGCAACCUCAGCCUGUUGCAGCAGGACCUCCUCCACCUGUACAUUCCACCAAACAGGAGCCAUCCCCUGAGGGGCAUGAGAAAUGUUUGGAUAUUGUAAACAUCUUAAAGACCUCCAUUCCAAAGGAUCUGGCUACUUUCUACCAAACCUGGGGUGCCAAUAGCCCCGUAAUGGACCGUGCUGGUAAGAAUCCUAAGAACUGUCUUUCCAGCAUAUUUUUAAAUUCUUAAUUUUAUUUUCCCCCUUAACAUAAGGAAUUCCACAAAACACUCGUGUUGUUACUGUCUGUGUUUGACAAGGUUAUCUCUCCUAUUUAACUGUCCUGUCCUGCAUCAGAUCAUUUAGGUGGCUUACCUGGGAAUAACACUGCUGUUGAAUUUAAUGACAUUUCCUUCUGAAGGAAGAUAUGUAAGGUCUCACUGCUAGAAUUCUAUCUGCAAUUAAGUGCUGGAUUCAGUCCCUUAAAAAAAGGGGGGGGAAUGUUUGAAGUGGCUUGAGAGAAUUCCCUCUACAUGAAAUGUCCAAGCAGAAGAUACAGUAUCAGAUUUGUAUCCAAUCUAAAAUAGGGGGCAGGAAUUUACUUUGUGUGAGAAAUGAUUAUUUCAAGAAAAUUAUGACUUUAUUGAACAUUUCAAGUGCAAGGGAUUUUCAUAAUUCACUGUCAGAUCUCUGCUUUUGGAGAUAAAACUGAUGAUAAAACAUUGAAGGGAAGAGAAAAGAAAUAAUAAAAAGAACAAUUCAGUAUUAGGACAAAAUAUUGUUGGCUAGGUUUGAAGCUUGUUGGAUUUUCAGACUCGGGUUUAGCUGCUAGAAUCAGAAUAUUAACGUCUUAAUUUGCAAAGUUCCCUUUCUGUGCAAUGGAUUUGAGCAGAAAUCUUGGGAACUGGAUAAUUCAGAUUGACUUGAAGGAUAUUUGACUCUGCUUAUCUCAGUCCUACCAACCGUGUAACAUUAUUCUUUAUUUCAAAUAGUUGUGAAUUGAAAAGUAGAUCUUUUAUGGCAAGCAAAAAAAAUAUAUAGCAGUAUUUUCAGUCAUAAUGGCAACUAUCAUUUUAAUACUUAAAAUGGGAAUUUAUUAAUGUAUACAGUACUUAUUAAACAUGCUGAGCCUUUAUGCUUUAUGAUAGCAAUAAUGAAAGAGUGCUCCUGAGCAUAUGCAGAGCUCUAUUUCCACAGUCAGGUUACCAGAAUUUUUAUAGCCAAAACCUAGGAUUAGCAAUAAAUAGUGAGCUCCCACAAGAGCAAGCAAAGGAGAUCCUAAUUCUGGAGAAGAUUUUGAAUUUAGGCUUAGCUGGAAAUCUUGUUCAAAUACAAAACUAAAUAUAGCAUUCUCAGAAUUUAAGAUGAAUUGAUUUAUCCACAAGAUAGCAUAAAAGAAUGCAGCAUUUGACACCAAUGACUUGUCUUCCCUAAGUGAUUUAUUAAAAUUUACUUUUUUCUUGUUUGCCCAGUGUAAAUAUUUUGUUGCUUAUUCUCCUAGCCCCUUUCCUUAUGAGCUAAAUUAAUAAAGAUUUCAUUACUAACCAGUUAGAAAGAAUAAGACCCAUUUUGGGAAAAUUCCUUGCAAAUGUGCACACAUCUUAAAGAUUUAUAUAGGCAGUUGUAUACAAUGUCCACUGAGCAAAAGGAAGUUACAGCACAUUUGCCAAGAUGUAAAACAAAGAUAUUUUGAUGAGUUUUAUCCAUGACAGCUGUUGGUGAGAAAAUAUCCUUAAAAUAUGGCAUAAACAUUUGAUUUGUAAAAGAUACUCUAAAACUGUUAGCAAUUAUCUUGUAAAGAGCUGCCUGUAGGGCAAUAUCUAAUAGGUUGCUAAGGGUAAGGAAGUUGAACUCAAUAGAAUUGUUACCUAAGCAAAAAGGCUUGAAAUAUUUUUAAGACCUGAGAAACAAGGUAAUAUUCAAAACAGCUUGGGCAUACAAAUCCCUAAUUCACUGAACCAUAAACUAGAGGAGAAACAGCAUAAUCAGACUUGGAAGAUUAUGUUCUUAUAGCCAGUCUCAAUACAAGUUAGUCUUCUUGUAGAUUCUUGGUCUGUUUUACUUAGUGGGACCUGCACAAGUGCUCUAAGAAGUUGCAGUGAAAACGUAUAUCCAUUAUUUUGCUUAUUGAAAAAGUUAAAAGGGCUCGUUCUUAUAAUGGGGCUACUACUAAACAAACGAAAAAUUCAUUUUUUAAAAAUUCAUUUUUGAACCCAUAUAUGAACUAAAACUUAGUUCUUUUUCAAAAUGCAAUGUUUUUGGCUCUUUCCAGUACAAAAAACAGCCUUUACGGCAUGUGUAAAGGCCAUAUACAAAGAUUUAGGAAAAUGCAAAUGCAUCCUAAUAGACCAAAAAAUAUGUGCAGAAUCUGAACAUUAAGCAAACUUGGAAACAAAAACAUGCUUAUUUGGAAAACGACCAAAGAAAAUACAAGAAAAUAAGAAUAAAUUGAGUCAAGACAGGGAUAAGAUGAAAGAAAAAGAGAAAAUCAGAUUGAAAAAUAAUAAGAGAGAGAAACCAUUGUGACAGAUUUACUUAUUGGUGACUACUAUUUGGCUGUGCCUUUUUUUAAGUGAUGAAGUAAAAUCCACUUGCAUUGGGAUGAAUCUGUUCUUUGGUUCUUCCCAUGUCAACAUUACUCCAUUUCUGGAACAGCUAAUGCUAGGAUCAGGAACAUUUUUCAGAAGAUGAUUCCCCCCCCCCCAUAUUAAUUUUGGUAAGUAGGAAGCAAUCACAUGUUAGCCAAUUCCCACAUGAAAACAUUAGAAUGCCUUGACUUCAAGUCUUCCCAGAUUAUUUCAGCCAUAAUCCGUAGGCUGACUUUUGACUUUUUUCUUAUGCUGCAGCCAUAAGAAACUCUCAGAUGCCAAUAGUAAUGCCAUUAUGCAACUUAGGACAGCUCUCAUUAAUAGAACACACUACAUCGGUAACCUUGACUUAGAACAGUUCAUUUAGUUCGGCAAAGUUACAAUGGUACUGAUCAACUUUGUCGACCUGACAAACAAAAUCAAUGGGGAAGCCAGAUUGAC